GACGAACGCUGGCGGCGUGCUUAACACAUGCAAGUCGAACGGAAAGGCCCUGCCUUUGUGGGGUGCUCGAGUGGCGAACGGGUGAGUAACACGUGAGUAACCUGCCCUUGACUUUGGGAUAACUUCGGGAAACUGGGGCUAAUACCGGAUAGGAGCUCCUGCUGCAUGGUGGGGGUUGGAAAGUUUCGGCGGUUGGGGAUGGACUCGCGGCUUAUCAGCUUGUUGGUGGGGUAGUGGCUUACCAAGGCUUUGACGGGUAGCCGGCCUGAGAGGGUGACCGGCCACAUUGGGACUGAGAUACGGCCCAGACUCCUACGGGAGGCAGCAGUGGGGAAUAUUGCACAAUGGGCGGAAGCCUGAUGCAGCAACGCCGCGUGCGGGAUGACGGCCUUCGGGUUGUAAACCGCUUUCGCCUGUGACGAAGCGUGAGUGACGGUAAUGGGUAAAGAAGCACCGGCUAACUACGUG
rnacentral:rRNA from 1 species